GAUGAAGAAUGCAGCGAAAUGCGAUAAGUAAUGUGAAUUGCAGAAUUCAGUGAAUCAUCGAAUCUUUGAACGCACAUUGCGCCCGCUAGUAUUCUGGCGGGCAUGCCUGUCCGAGCGUCAUUUCAACCCUCAAGCCCCCGGGCUUGGUGUUGGGGAUCGGCGAGCCUCCGCGCCCGCCGUCCCCUAAAUCUAGUGGCGGUCUCGCUGUAGCUUCCUCUGCGUAGUAGCACACCUCGCACUGGGAAACAGCGCGGCCACGCCGUUAAACCCCCAACUUCUGAACGUUUGACCUCGGAUCAGGUAGGAAUACCCGCUGAACUUAAGCAUAUCAAUAAGCGGAGGA
rnacentral:misc_RNA from 1 species